rnacentral:rRNA from 1 species
GAACGCUGGCGGCGUGCUUAACACAUGCAAGUCGAACGAUAAAGCCCAGCUUGCUGGGUGGAUUAGUGGCGAACGGGUGAGUAACACGUGAGUAACCUGCCCUUGACUCUGGGAUAAGCCCGGGAAACUGGGUCUAAUACCGGAUAGGAGCGCCUGUCGCAUGACGGGUGUUGGAAAGAUUUUUCGGUCAUGGAUGGACUCGCGGCCUAUCAGCUUGUUGGUGAGGUAAUGGCUCACCAAGGCGACGACGGGUAGCCGGCCUGAGAGGGUGACCGGCCACACUGGGACUGAGACACGGCCCAGACUCCUACGGGAGGCAGCAGUGGGGAAUAUUGCACAAUGGGCGGAAGCCUGAUGCAGCGACGCCGCGUGAGGGAUGACGGCCUUCGGGUUGUAAACCUCUUUCAGUAGGGAAGAAGCGAAAGUGACGUACCU